rnacentral:rRNA from 1 species
AGUGAACGCUGGCGGUAGGCCUAACACCUGCAAGUCGAACGGCAGCACAGGAGAGCUUGCUCUCUGGGUGGCGAGUGGCGGACGGGUGAGGAAUACAUCGGAAUCUACUCUGUCGUGGGGGAUAACGUAGGGAAACUUACGCUAAUACCGCAUACGACCUACGGGUGAAAGCAGGGGACGUUCGGGCCUUGCGCGAUUGAAUGAGCCGAUGUCGGAUUAGCUAGUUGGCGGGGUAAAGGCCCACCAAGGCGACGAUCCGUAGCUGGUAUGAAAGUAGUAUCAGCCACACUGGAACUGAGACACGGGCCAGACUCCGACGGGAGGCAGCGGUGGGGAAUAUUGAACAAGGGGCGCAAGCCUGAUCCAGCCAUACCGCGUGGGUGAAGAAGGCCUUCGGGUUGUAAAGCCCUUUUGUUGGGAAAGAAAUCCAGCUGGCUAAUACCCGGUUGGGAUGACGGUACCCAAAGAAUAAGCACCGGCUAACUUCGUGCCAGCAGCCGCCGUAA